rnacentral:lncRNA from 1 species
CACCCCGAGAAGACCUUCUCCUAUGAGAGGCCUAUGACAGGCUGAUCCCUACGAUUACUACCAUGAAGAUGACGUCUUAUGCUCUCUGCAGCACGCCUACAACUCCACAUACUGGCCCAGGCCACGAUCUCCGGCACACUGACAGGGACACUCCAUGCUCAUCAAAGCAUAUCAAAGCUCCAUGCUCUCCGAAGCAUAUCGACUACUCAACCAUCUGUUUCGGCCAUGUGCCCCAUAGAACAGAUGAGUCCUAUCACCUACAACGCCACGUGCCCAUCCAGGCUACGUGCCUCCAUCAGAGCUACGUGCUCCUUAGGCCAUGUGCCCAUUAGACGACGCGCCCACUUAAGCUCCGCGCCUC